rnacentral:tRNA from 1 species
GCCGGGGUCCCUAAGCCUGGUAUAGGGCAGGCCUGGAGAGCCUGUGGCCUUUCACGGGCCGCGUGGGUUCAAAUCCCACCCCCGGCG